rnacentral:rRNA from 1 species
GGAAGUUAAGCUCUUCAGCGCCGAUGGUAUUUGGGCGGAAACGCCCUGAGAGCGUAGGACGUCGCCUGGC